AGCGAACGCUGGCGGCAGGCUUAACACAUGCAAGUCGAGCGGGCAUCUUCGGAUGUCAGCGGCAGACGGGUGAGGAACACGGGGGAACGAACCCUUCGGUUCGGAACAACUCUGGGAAACUGGAGCUAAUACCGGAUAAGCCAUUAUGGGGAAAGGUUUACUGCCGAAGGAUCGGCACGCGGACGAUUAGCUAGUUGGUGGGGUAACGGCCUACCAAGGCGACGAUCAGUAGCUGGUCUGAGAGGAUGAUCCGCCACACUGGGACUGAGACACGGCCCAAAUUCCUCCGGGAGGCCGCAGUGGGGAAUAUUGGACACUGCGCGCAAGCCUGAUCCAGCCAUGCCGCGUGAGUGAUGAAGUCCUUAGGGUUGUAAAGCUCUUUUGUCCGGGACGAUAAUGACGGUACCGGAAGAAUAAGCCCCGCCUAACUUCGU
rnacentral:rRNA from 1 species